rnacentral:lncRNA from 1 species
GGGAACCGAAGUCUUGUUCUAUAGUAGUGGAAAUGUAAAAACAAUUUGGCAUGAUUCUUUCUGAUGAAUAUAUACCAAUGCAAGCCACACUUUCUUCCUUAGAGAACAGAGCCUGAAUCAUAAUAACUGACAAAUAACUCUGUGCUCAAGGUUUGUUCAAGUUGCUAAGAACUUAUGAAUCAGAGCUGACGGAAAUGAGAGGCAUCGGCAAACAUGUUAGCACUGUCGGGUGCUUUUCAAUCCCUGCCUUGAAAAGGUCAUCAGCUUGCAGCUCGGACUGAGAAAAGAUGGCAUUCUUAAGCUCAUACAUUUUCUCUCGGUACGUGCAUCCGGAGUUUCAUGUUGCUACCUAGAGGUGUGGGGGACUGUGCAUUUUCCAAAGCUGCAACAUUUUGGCGGGAGGGACUUUUGAAAGCUGUUUUACAGCUUCCAUGUCGAUGUUGUGGCAUUUUUUUUUUAUCAUUUUCGAAAUCUUUCUUUCAAAAAAUAGCAGUGAAAAAGGACAACAUCGACCAUUCCUUCUCAUGUUUCUGCAGACAAAUUCAGCAACCAGGCAGCUUGUAGAAAACUAUAGUGCUUUGCGUAUACUCAAUUCUUCCACGAGUCCUCACUAAAGCCCAUGUUUCAAUUCCCUCCAGUACACGAUGAACAGCAUGUUCAAUGAAGAAUUGUCCACUAUCCUUCUUUGCAUUGGUUUCAUUUUGAUCAUCCCUCUGCAACGUAAGUCUUGUGCUUGCUGUCAAAUGCAUUGUGAAUGAUAGCAGACUUGAUCAUCCAAUCAAGCCAUUUAUAUUAGCAGCAAGUACUAGGUACUUCAUGUCUACUUCCUAUGAAGCGCAAUGCACUUUAGAUGUCUCAUCUCUUGUAUUUAUUUGUAUGAAAGGCACAGUCCAUAUGCCUCUGUCUACUGCAUGGCAGCACGUCUUUGCAUGCAUUUUGCUGCCUCACAAACUGCUCUUUCCUUCAGCAAGUCACAAAAUCUUAACAGCAAGAAGUAU